CCCUGCCAUUUGUACACACCGCCCGUCGCUCCUACAGAUUGAGUGCUCCGGUGAAACGUCGGGAGAGUGUACCUCCGAUCAGCAAUGGUCGAGGCGCACUCGAACUUCCUUAAAUUGACGCACUUAGAUGAAGG
rnacentral:rRNA from 1 species